GACGAACGCUGGCGGCGUGCCUAAUACAUGCAAGUCGAGCGGAGCUGAGGAGAAGCUUGCUUCUCUGAAGCUUAGCGGCGGACGGGUGAGUAACACGUAGGCAACCUGCCUGCAAGACCGGGAUAACUGACGGAAACGUGAGCUAAUACCGGAUAGGCGGACUUCUCGCAUGAGGGGUUCGGGAAAGGCGGCGCAAGCUGUCACUUGCAGAUGGGCCUGCGGCGCAUUAGCUAGUUGGUGGGUAACGGCUCACCAAGGCGACGAUGCGUAGCCGACCUGAGAGGGGUGAUCGGCCACACUGGGGACUGAGACACGGCCCAGACUCCUACGGGAGCAGCAGUAGGGAAUCUUCCGCAAUGGACGAAAGUCUGACGGAGCAACGCCGCGUGAGUGAGGAAGGCCUUCGGGUCGUAAAGCUCUGUUGCC
rnacentral:rRNA from 1 species